rnacentral:tRNA from 1 species
AGGGAUUUAGCUCAGCAGCAUAAGUGCCUGCCUUUCAAGCAGGCAGUGGUGAGUUCAAUCCCUG